CGGCCCUGGAGCGCCUAGCGCAGAGCAAAGCAAGGUCGAUGAUGGAAAUCGACCGCAUGGUGGUGCUAAUACCCUCAGGAUGCGAGGCUGUCGAGGCUGUCUCCUACCAGACAGAAACCGAGGUCCAAGGAAGAGGAGGGGAGAGUUUCGGAGCCAAAUGUUUUUCCUCCAGCUAGACUUUACACCCGAUGAUGGUGUAGCUUAGACCCCGAGGUUAUGGUGUGUGUAGUUCCAGCAUGACGACGCCCCGACAACCCUUCGACAGCCACGUUUGAAAUAACCACAGCUUUAAAUUUAAACCGUCCCAUCCUUUAUUCUCAUCCCCUGCCUUUGCCCAAACAACAUCCAUUGGCUAGGUGCGGCUACAGAGGUUCGUGGCCGUACCCAGCUUGCGGCAGUAGCAAAAGGCAUUGAAGAAGCGGCA